rnacentral:rRNA from 1 species
CCUUCGGACUGUCCCAGGGAGGUCGGCAACGACCACCCAGGGACGGAAAGUUGGUCAAACUUGGUCAUUUAGAGGAUGUAAAAGUCGUAACAAGGUUUCCGUAGGUGAACCUGCGGAAGGAUCAUUAAAGAGUAAGGGUCUCUGGCCCGAACCUCCAACCCUCUGUCGUUAUAACUACUUCGUUGCUUUGGCGGGACCGCAAGGUUUCCACCGAGCGCGCCGGUCUUCGGACAGGCGAGCGCCCGCCAGAGUCUAACCAAACUCUUGUUUUAAACCAGUCGUCUGAGUAUAAAAUUUUAAUUAAAUUAAAACUUUCAACAACGGAUCUCUUGGUUCUCGCAUCGAUGAAGAACGCAGCGAAAUGCGAUAAGUAAUGUGAAUUGCAGAGUUCAGUGAAUCAUCGAAUCUUUGAACGCACAUUGCGCCCCUUGGUAUUCCGAGGGGCAUGCCUGUUCGAGCGUCAUUACACCACUCAAGCACUGCUUGGUAUUAGGCACUCGUCCGUCGAAAGACGGGCGUGCCUCGAAGGCCUCGGCGGGGUUUCUCCAACUUCGGGCGUAGUAGAGUUAAAUCAAAACGUCUUAUAAGUCUGGGGAGACUCCAUUGCCGUAAAACCUUUAUUUUUUCAGGUUGACCUCGGAUCAGGUAGGGAUACCCGCUGAACUUAAGCAUAUCAAUAAGCGGAGGAAAAGAAACCAACAGGGAUUGCCCUAGUAACGGCGAGUGAAGCGGCAAUAGCUCAAAUUUGAAAGCUGGCCUUCUGGUCCGCAUUGUAAUUUGUAGAGGAUGCUUUUAGGCAGCCGCCGGUCUAAGUUCCUUGGAACAGGACG